rnacentral:rRNA from 1 species
GACGAACGCUGGCGGCGUGCUUAACACAUGCCAGUCGAACGGAAAGGCCCUGCUUUUGUGGGGUGCUCGAGUGGCGAACGGGUGAGUAACACGUGAGUAACCUGCCCUUGACUCUGGGAUAACUUCAGGAAACUGGGGCUAAUACAGGAUAGGAGCUCCUGCUGCAUGGUGGGGGUUGGAAAGUUUCGGCGUUUGGGGAUGGAUUCGCGGCUUACUAGCUUCAUGGUGGGGGAGGGGCUUACCAAGGGUUGGAAGGGUAGCCCGCCUGAGAGGGUGACCGGUCACAUUGGGACUGAGAUACGGCCCAGGCGCCUACUGGAGGCAGCAGUGGGGAAUAUUGCACAAUGGGCGCCAGCCUGAUGCAGCAACGCCGCGUGCUGGAUGACCUCCUUCGGGUUGUAAACCGCUUUCGCCUGUGACGAAGCGGUAGUGACGGUAAUGAGUGAAGAAGCACCGGCUAACUACGUG